AGUUUUAUUCUUGCUUAAUUAUUUACUUUUUGUAUAUUUUACAUGUGAGUUUAUGCGGUUCAUAUUAGUUCUUUAAUAGAUGUAUGGGGACGCAGUGUUUGAUAUUAUGAAUCAAGGGUACUUGGAGUUAGUAAUAUAAUAUGUGAUCGGCUAAAGUCGUGCCAGCUGCCGCGGUUAUACGUGGGAUUAGAGUAAAUAUUAUUGGCGUGGGAGUUAAUAGGUUAAUUAAAUCUAAAUUUAGAUUUUUAAGGUAGAAUUUAAAAUUUAUGUAGGAUUUUAUGUAUAAUAUGAAGCUCUGAAAUUUAAUUAGUAAACUAGGAUUAGAUACCCUAUUAUUUUAAAUGUAAAGAAUAAGCUAGAGUAGUAGUAGUUAAGUUCUUGAAACUCAAAGAAUUUGGCGGUGUUUUAGUCUUUUCAGAGGAAUCUGUCCUGUAAUCGAUAUUACACGUUAUAUUCAACUUGAUUUAGGUAGAAUGUUUGUAUACCGCCGUCGUAAGAUUAUUUUUUUAGAAAGGAUAAUUUUCUUUAACUUAGAAUUGAGUUUAUGUCAGGUCAAGGUGCAGCUUAUGAUCAAGUAAGAGAUGGAUUACAAUAGAAGAAUUUAAAUGGAUCUUGCAUUGAAAGAAGCAUUUGAAGGUGGAUUUGAAAGUAAUGUUGUUAGAUUAUGAUAGCAUGAUUUUAGCUCUAGAACAUGCACACAUCGCCCGUCGCUCUCAUUAUUAAGGUGAGAUAAGUCGUAACAUAGUAGAUGUACUGGAAAGUGUAUCUAGAAUG
rnacentral:ncRNA from 1 species